rnacentral:rRNA from 1 species
GACGAACGCUGGCGGCGUGCUUAACACAUGCAAGUCGAACGGAAAGGCCCUGCUUUUGUGGGGUGCUCGAGUGGCGAACGGGUGAGUAACACGUGAGUAACCUGCCCUUGACUUUGGGAUAACUUCAGGAAACUGGGGCUAAUACCGGAUAGGAGCUCCUGCUGCAUGGUGGGGGUUGGAAAGUUUCGGCGGUUGGGGAUGGACUCGCGGGUUAUCAGCUUGUUGGUGGGGUAGUGGCUUACCAAGGCUUUGACGGGUAGCCGGCCUGAGAGGGUGACCGGCCACAUUGGGACUGAGAUACGGCCCAGACGCCUACGGGAGGCAGCAGUGGGGAAUAUUGCAGAAUGGGCGGAAGCCUGAUGCAGCAACGCCGCGUGCGGGAUGACGGCCUUCGGGUUGUAAACCGCUUUCGCCUGUGACGAAGCGUGAGUGACGGUAAUGGGUAAAGAAGCACCGGCUAACUACGUG